AACGAACGCUGGCGGCAGGCUUAACACAUGCAAGUCGAACGCACCUUUCGGGGUGAGUGGCAGACGGGUGAGUAACGCGUGGGAAUCUACCCUUCUCUACGGGAUAGCUCCGGGAAACUGGAAUUAAUACCGUAUACGUCCUGAGGGAGAAAGAUUUAUCGGGGAAGGAUGAGCCCGCGUUGGAUUAGCUAGUUGGUGGGGUAAAGGCCUACCAAGGCGACGAUCCAUAGCUGGUCUAAGAGGAUGAUCAGCCACAUUGGGACUGAGACACGGCCCAAACUCCUACGCGAGGCAGCAGUAGGGAGUAUUGGACGAUGCACGCAAGCCUGAUCCAGCCAUGCCGCGUGAGUGAUGAAGGCCCUAGGGUUGUAAAGCUCUUUCAGUGGGGACGAUAAUGACGGUACCCGGUGAAGAAGCCCCGGCUAACUUCGUG
rnacentral:rRNA from 1 species